UCCCAUAUCCCAGCAGGGCAAACCAAUUGCCUCAGGCUAUCUGUGUAAGGUGUCUAUGUGAAACCUAAAUGAAUUUCAUGAUUAGAGGUGCUCCCACCUGCCAAAUAAUCCCGCCACAAAUAUGCAAAUAUUGCAAAAUCAAAAAUAAUUCUGAAAUUAUUCUGAAACACUUCUUGUCACAAGAAUUUCAGCAAAGUACAGUCAACCUAUCAGAGAGACAAGGGUGAUGCCCCGGUGAGUGUGUCUCAGCUGUGUUUAUGAAUUUGUUUGGUUCACACAUAUCUGAGUGGUAUGGAUAACUGGGCAUCUCUAACCCAGGGCAAUCAGUAAGAACUAAUAACCUGUGUCUCCUAGACGAGUCAGGAUGGGAACUGACCUCUAGGAGAUUCUAGUCAGGAGCCCACUAACCUGGGCCGUCAUGUUUAGAGCUGAAGGAGUCUUCAUAGCCCAGGCUGUCCUGGGUAUUGCAGGAUGCUGAUUGAACAGCACCUGUGACCUUUCCUGCUCCAUGCCACUAGCAACCUCCUGCCAUGUGUGGCAGUCACAAAGGUCAUCAGAAUGGAGUGAGUGCUCCCUGGGAAGGCAGGCAGGACCUUCAACCAUUGGACCAAGAAGUCAUUGCUUAUGGGUCUCAGGGGCCAUCAAACUGUCUACCUGAUGCUGUGGUUUCUGCUUAGAGAUCUGGAGGAGGGCAGCGGAGCCUGCCUCGGUUCAGUGAUGGUUUUUCUUACCUGCUUCAAGCCGAGAUCUGAAAGCUUUGUGGAAGAUGAUCAAGCAAAGCUCCCAAGCCAAAGGGUAGCAGAGGGUGGCUACGUGGUUUUUAGGUAGAUGUUCCCAGGUGCCCUCUCUUGAGCUGGGUCUGAGGUUAUCCCUGUCCCCAUGCCCCCUCUGUGCCCCGAGCUCUGUCUCCCCACUCUUGCUGUUGUGUUGUCCUUGUGAAUGUAUGGCUGACCCACUCCAGGCCAAGCAGCUUAACAGCAGGCUUGCUGUUAAGUCCCAAGUCCGUCAUGGGGUCAGGUUACACCCAGAGGUGUUUUCACUGUGGGGUUCCAGGGAGGCUGGGGAGAAUGGGCAGAGCCCAGGGUUCCAUCUCACCACCUAUAAGUUGUCAGAAACUCGGAUGCCCCUCCACCCACCUCUGGCAUCUCUAUGCUGCUAAUCUCUGCCACGUGUCCCGUGUGCUCCAGUGCCCGUGCCCGUCACCGCCCCUCCACGCCCUCCGUGAGGUUGUCCAGGCUGUGUUCUCUCGCAUGCUUCUCUUCUAUAUAACCCUCAUCUUCUCAUUUUAUGGGAUUCAACACAAAGUCUACUUAUGCUUCUUUGCAUUAUGGUUAAACAAUUAAAAAAAAAAAAAGGACUC
rnacentral:lncRNA from 1 species